GGUCAGUACUGAGAAGGUGCCGCGGUAAUUCGUAUGCAGGAGGGUUUGGUUUGGAUGACUGGGCGUAAAGAGUGUGUAGGCGGUUCUCGAUGUUCGGUGUGAAAGCUGCCGGCUUAACUGGGAGGGGGCGCCGAAAACGGGAGGGCUCGAGGAUGGGAGGGGAAAGCGGAAUUCCUGGUGUAGCGGUGAAAUGCGUAGAUAUCAGGAGGAACACCUGCGGUGUAGACGGCUUUCUGGACCAUCACUGACGCUGAGACACGAAAGCGUGGGGAGCAAACAGGAUUAGAUACCCCAGUAGUC
rnacentral:rRNA from 1 species